CCUACGGGGGGCGGCAGUGGGGAAUAUUGGACAAUGGGCGGAAGCCUGAUCCAGCAAUACCGCGUGUGUGAAGAAGGCCUGAGGGUUGUAAAGCACUUUCAAUUGUGAAGAAAAGUUAUCGGAUAAUACCCGAUAGCCUUGACGUUAACUUUAGAAGAAGCACCGGCUAACUCCGUGCCAGCAGCCGCGGUAAUACGGAGGGUGCGAGCGUUAAUCGGAAUUACUGGGCGUAAAGCGUGCGUAGGCGGUUGUCUAAGUCAGAUGUGAAAGCCCCGGGCUCAACCUGGGAACUGCAUUUGAAACUGGGCAGCUAGAGUUUGGUAGAGGAAGGUAGAAUUCCUAGUGUAGCGGUGAAAUGCGUAGAUAUUAGGAGGAAUACCAGUGGCGAAGGCGGCCUUCUGGACCAAAACUGACGCUGAGGUACGAAAGCGUGGGGAGCAAACAGGAUUAGAUACCCUGGUAGUCCACGCCGUAAACGAUGUCAACUAGUCGUUGGAUCCUCCGGGAUUUAGUGACGCAGCUAACGCGUGAAGUUGACCGCCUGGGGAGUACGGCCGCAAGGUUAAAACUCAAAGGAAUUGACGG
rnacentral:rRNA from 1 species